rnacentral:rRNA from 1 species
UGGGGAAUAUUGGACAAUGGGGGAAACCCUGAUCCAGCAAUGCCGCGUGAAUGAAGAAGGCCUUAGGGUUGUAAAAUUCUUUUGUUCGUGACGAUAAUGACGGUAGCGGACGAAUAAGCCCUGGCUAACUCUGUGCCAGCAGCCGCGGUAAUACAGAGAGGGCAAGCGUUGUCCGGAAUGACUGGGCGUAAAGCGCGCGCAGGCGGUUUCUUAAGUUGGAUGUGAAAUCCCCGGGCUUAACCUGGGAACUGCAUUCGAUACUGGGGAACUAGAGGCCGAGAGAGGAAAGCGGAAUGACGAGUGUAGAGGUGAAAUUCGUAGAUAUUCGUCGGAACACCAGAGGCGAAGGCGGCUUUCUGGCUCGGACCUGACGCUCAGGCGCGAAAGCGUGGGGAGCAAACA